UACGGGGGGAGCAAGCGUUGUUCGGAUUUACUGGGCGUAAAGGGCGCGUAGGCGGUCAGCACAAGUCAGUUGUGAAAUCUCCGGGCUUAACCCGGAAAGGUCAACUGAUACUGUGCGACUAGAGUGCGGAAGGGGCAACUGGAAUUCUCGGUGUAGCGGUGAAAUGCGUAGAUAUCGAGAGGAACACCGGUGGCGAAGGCGGCGACCUGGGUUGACAUUGACGCUGAGGCGCGAAAGCGUGGGGAGCAAACAGG
rnacentral:rRNA from 1 species